AGUUAGAUUAGUUACACUCAUUAGAUUGCAUGGAUUGCAACAUUAUGAGGUUUGGUGCUACUUUAUCUACUUUCAGGAUGAGAAAAAUUAGAUUCAAAGAAAUUAAGUAAAAAAGGAAAGCAUUCCCUCUUUUUUUCCCAUUCCCUGAGAAUUAUUGCUUAUUGAAGUAUAAUAUUAUCUUUGCCGGUUGAGCAUGGUGGCACAUCAUGUCUUUCUCCCAGGUUCUUGGAAAGCCGAAACACAGGGAUCACAGGUUUGAGGCCAGGGUAGGCAAUUUAGUGAGACCCUGUCUCAAAAGGGGCUGGGGAUAUAACUCAGUGGUAGAGUGCUUACCUGGAAUGCCCAAGGUCCUAGGCUCAAUCUCCAGUACCACAAAACAAAUAAGUAAAAUAUUAAAUUGACAGUGGGGAAAACUCAAUGCUAUAGGUUGAAUAAGUAAUGAAAGUAAUAUCUCAAUAUUACUAUUAACACUUUGAACUUAAAAAAGAAUAAAAACAUCAUCUUGGAGCUAGGUGUGGUGGUGCAUACCUGUAAUCCAGACUGAGGAAACUGAGGCAAGAGGAUCUCAAGUAAGUUUGAGGAUAGCCUGGGCAACUUAGACUUUUGUCUCAAAAAUAAAAAGGGUUGGGGAUAUAGCUCCAUGGUAGAGUGCUUGCCUAGCAUGUGGGAGACCUUGAGUUCAAUCCCUGAUAUUGCAACAAAAAAAAAUUUUUAAGAUAUAAUUCACAUAACAUAAAUCUUAUCAUUUAAAAAUCUACAGUUAAACUUUUUUUUUUUUUAAUAUUCCCACAGAGUUGUGCAGGCAUCACCAACUCCAGAACAUUCCAUGCCCUCCGAAAGAAAAAAAACUAUUAGCAGUCACUCUACCACUGAGCCACAACCCCAGCCCACUAGUGCACUUUUGAUUUUGAUUUGCCUAAUCUGGACAUUUCAUUAAUAAAGC
rnacentral:lncRNA from 1 species